UCUUAAAGUUUAUAAGCUUUACCAAUCCCCUAUCAUUACUAGCUAUUAAUACUAAAUCAUAACUCUGUUCGCAGCUAUCUAUAGAUACACUGACCUGAUCUCUAAUUCGUCCCCUAUCGAACAACAUCCUAUAUGCCCCAAAUUAACCCUAUGUCCCAGUUAAUGUAGCUUAAAUAUAUAAAGCAAGGCACUGAAAAUGCCUAGAUGAGUCGCCAGACUCCAUAAACACAAAGGUUUGGUCCUGGCCUUUCCAUUAGUUAUUAAUAAGAUUACACAUGCAAGCCUCUGCAUCCCGGUGAAAAUGCCCUCUAAGUCACCCAGUGACCUAAAGGAGCUGGUAUCAAGCACACAACCAUAGUAGCUCAUGACACCUUGCUCAGCCACACCCCACGGGAUACAGCAGUGAAAAAUUAAGCUAUGAAUGAAAGUUCGACUAAGCUAUAUUAAACAAGGGUUGGUAAAUUUCGUGCCAGCCACCGCGGUCAUACGAUUAACCCAAACUAAUAGACCCACGGCGUAAAGCGUGUUACAGAGAAAAAAUACUAAAGUAAAACCUUAACUAGGCCGUAAAAAGCUACAGUUAACAUAAAAAUACAGCACGAAAGUAACUUUAAUAUCUCCGACUACACGAUAGGUAAGACCCAAACUGGGAUUAGAUACCCCACUAUGCUUAGCCCUAAACUUAGAUAGUUAGCUUAAACAAAACUAUCCGCCAGAGAACUACUAGCAACAGCUUAAAACUCAAAGGACUUGGCGGUGCUUUACAUCCCUCUAGAGGAGGCUGUUCUAUAA